GCACAGGUGUUCUGAUAUAUGAUAAUUAAGCACAACUAGUUGUACAGUUGAUAUGACAAAUGUGUUAGCAAACAGGUAGCCUACUAGUUUAGCUGCAUAUCCAGCAGAAAUGGAGCAACAUUAACAUCUGGAGGGAGGGAGUCCUGUUUCUGACCACCUGCUGAAUUUGUAUUUGUGCGCCUCGGGAAGAUUACAAAGAGGUGCUUUGUGAGGGGAUGCAGCUGCUGAAAUUUGACUAGAUCCAGCUGAAGAGAGAAGGGAGCAGAGGGCAGUGAACGUGCUGCAGAAAGCAGAGGAAGAUCCUGUCAGCUUUGCGAAGUUCAGAUGUUAACGGGUCGGGGUGCUGCCAAAAUGUUGGAUUUCUGCAUCGCAAUGGGGACAACGAUGCCUCGGGGAGCAAAGAAGUGCCAGGCAGUACCAGUCCACUGAUGGCAGCUCUCGCCAAGGCCUGACAAACAGGGAUGCCGGCUGGCAGGACGCCCUCCCCCCUCUGCCCCUCCUCACGGUGCUCGGGGCCGCAGGCAGCUGAGAGAAAGAGCGGCCAACAGAUCAACAGUUGCUGCGACUUUGGUUGAGCGACUGGCCGGGCUGCUGCACGCCACCCAGCCCACAUUCAGGGCACCUGACCCUGGGUAAACUGACAAAUGCCUGGCCUUUGGGGUGCGCCUGCAGAUUGAUGUGACCCUGAGGGCGUUAUGACCUCAGCGCAUCGGGGACACACACACACACACGCAUCCAUGUUCCCUGUCACAAUGUUUUUUCAAAGCACCUGACGAAGUGCAUCUUACGCUCACCAACACUUUUCAGGCUUAUUGUCAUGGAGAUGGAACAGCUCUAAGGAUGCUUGCACCCUGGAAAGAGUGCGGUAAUUUGCUCCUAAUUAACAUGUUGAAAUGAUGUGAUUUGAUGCAUUCUUCACAGCUGAAUCACACAUUUGAUUUACGGUGCAUGACACUGGGAAAAAAAAACAAAGUUUGAUCACUGCCUUGUUAGCUUAAGCACAUUUGCUUGAUUAGAUUUCUCUCAACUGCCUCCACAGUUUGUAUUCAUAGACCGUUUUAUGCUGCCAUGUGCUGCCUGUUGGCACACACAAGCCUAUAUGGUUCGCAUUAUAGCCUCGCAAUGUACACUUUACGCAUCGGGCAUAUUUAACUCAUCUUGACAAGGCUGUUAAUUUCUCUGAAACCAGGGACGGAUUCCAACGUCUCUCUCUAUCCACCACGUCCCUUCUUCCCUCCAAAAUGCCCAGCUGUUGCCACAGUAGACAGCUGCUUCAGGGGUAGAACGAAUCUCAGCUGUUGAGGGGAGUUGCACAAGGAGGGGAGGGGGGGUGUUUGGUGGAUUUUGGGGGUUUGUAUUCCCUCAAACCAAUGACAGUCCACUCUACUCUGCACUGAGUUGGGUGGAGUGUUGAAAAAUGCUGACAGAUAGCAGAUUUAGGGACAGAAACCAGAGGCUACAGCUGUCUGUGUGUUUACAACCAGAACUGCUCAGAAACUCCGGGGUCACAUAAUAAGUGACGUCCCCCACAAAAAAGGUCUAUGUAGAAUAAUUUCUUCUUCAUUUGGCAGUUGGGAAAUAAAAGAGGAAUAGCAUAUGCUGGGUACUUUGAUGUUAGAUUAAGCUAAAGUUAUAUUUUUCUACAUCAAAAGUUUACCACAAUGAAUAUUCGCCACAUAAGGAUCCAAUUCAGUAAGAGGUGAACAUACUGUCAAGCAGUGGUGGAAGAAGCAUUCUGAUCUUUUACUUAAGUAAAAGUAGCAAUACUACAAUGCAGAAGUAAAAGUCCUGCAUUCAAACUCUUACAUCAGUAAAAGUACAAAAAGUAUUGGAA